AGCGAACGCUGGCGGCAGGCCUAACACAUGCAAGUCGAACGGCUCUUCGGAGCAGUGGCGGACGGGUGAGUAACGCGUGGGAACGUGCCCUUUGGUUCGGAACAACACAGGGAAACUUGUGCUAAUACCGGAUGUGCCCUUCGGGGGAAAGAUUUAUCGCCAUUGGAGCGGCCCGCGUUGGAUUAGGUAGUUGGUGGGGUAAAGGCCCACCAAGCCGACGAUCCAUAGCUGGUCUGAGAGGAUGAUCAGCCACACUGGGACUGGGACACGGCCCAGACUCCUACGGGAGGCAGCAGUGGGGAAUCUUGCGCAAUGGGCGAAAGCCUGACGCAGCCAUGCCGCGUGAAUGAUGAAGGUCUUAGGAUUGUAAAAUUCUUUCACCGGGGAAGAUAAUGACGGUACCCGGAGAAGAAGCCCCGGCUAACUUCGUGCCAGCCGCCGCCGUAACAC
rnacentral:rRNA from 1 species